rnacentral:rRNA from 1 species
UAGGGAAUCCUUGCGCAAUGGGCGAAAGCCUGACGCAGCGACGCCGCGUGAGGGAUGAAGGCCUUUGGGUCGUAAACCUCUGUCGGAGGGGAAGAAAUUUUGACGGUACCCUCCAAGGAAGCCCCGGCUAACUACGUG